UUUAAAUUACAUUUUGAAUGAAAAAGAAGGUAGAUGAUCUUUUGCCUCUUGCCUUUCUUCUCUUAGCUUUAAGCGCAUCUCACUUAUCUGUCAUUCCUGGACAGUCAGCAGAGCAGUGCUUCACCUCAAGAGUCCCACAAGCAGUGGGGGAAGCUACUAUAGAGCCUCCUGUUGGAAUGGGUCAAAAGGGGCUGCAGGAUGAUCCCACUGUGUGCUAAUAUGCAGGAGGAAUGGCUCAGACUGUGGGAAUACAACAAAAACUGUACAGACCAGCAGCUGUGGAGCAAGGUAAAUAGCAUGAGAACCAAGGACACCUCUAAAAGAAGGAGGAAGGUCUCACGGCUCUAUUGGACAAGCGCCUGCGUGAAUGGGUGAAGAGUUUUUGUAGAAUGCUCUGUUGACAUGUAAAGGUGGAUGGGAAAGUUGUAGGGGUGGAUGGGAAAGCUAGAAAAAGAAAACUUGUGAAGGUAUAUAAGUGAUGUGAGAACUUGUAAUAAAUGAUUUGGAUCGUUCA